AGUUUUAAUAGGAAGAGACCAGAGAGACCAGAGACCAGAGCUGGUGUCUAUGAUAUCCCAUGACACAGUGAGCUGAAAACGUUUUUGUAAAAUUCAAGACAGUUUGAGUGCAUCCAUACUUUGAAAUAGGAGACAUAGACUGUAUUACCUGUAAAGUUGGCUUCUGUUGGAUAAUCGAACUCAGAUUUAACUUACGGUCAUUUGGAAUUCAGGGUGAAGACGCUGAGGUUAAGAAACAAGUGACUGCUAUGAGAUCAUAAAGAAAAUGCAUA
rnacentral:lncRNA from 10 species